rnacentral:rRNA from 1 species
AGUGAACGCUGGCGGUAGGCCUAACACAUGCAAGUCGAACGGCAGCACAGUAAGAGCUUGCUCUUACGGGUGGCGAGUGGCGGACGGGUGAGGAAUACAUCGGAAUCUACUUUUUCGUGGGGGAUAACGUAGGAAACUUACGCUAAUACCGCAUACGACCUACGGGUGAAAGCAGGGGAUCUUCGGACCUUGCGCGAUUGAAUGAGCCGAUGUCGGAUUAGCUAGUUGGCGGGGUAAAGGCCCACCAAGGCGACGAUCCGUAGCUGGUCUGAGAGGAUGAGCAGCCACACUGGAACUGAGACACGGUCCAGACUCCUACGGGAGGCAGCAGUGGGGAAUAUUGGACAAUGGGCGCAAGCCUGAUCCAGCCAUACCGCGUGGGUGAAGAAGGCCUUCGGGUUGUAAAGCCCUUUUGUUGGGAAAGAAAAGCAGCAGGUUAAUACCCCGCUGUUCUGACGGUACCCAAAGAAUAAGCACCGGCUAACUUCGUG